rnacentral:RNase_P_RNA from 1 species
CGAGUCGGUCGGGCGGCCGCGGCGAGAUGAACGGGCAACACGUGUGCCGCAGCCCCUCGCCGAGGAAAGUCCGGACUCCGGAGAGCAGGGCGGUUGUUAACGGCAACCCGGGGCAACCCGCGGGACAGUGCCACAGAAAACAAACCGCCGGCGGGCCGCACUUCGCGAGAAGUGCACCGCCGGUAAGGGUGAAACGGUGCGGUAAGAGCGCACCAGCGUGCCGGGUGACCGGUGCGGCUAGGUAAACCCCGCCCGGAGCAAGGUCGAAGGUCGGACUCGCGAGAGUGCGACUGCGCAGGUGUUCGAGGGCUGCUCGCCCGAGCCUGCGGGUGGACCGCUCGAGGCACCCGGCAACGGUGUGUCCAGAUGGAUGGUCGCCACCCGGUGCUCGCACCGGGUACAGGAUCCGGCUUACAGACCGACUCGUCCG